GCCUUGGCCCAGGCCCACUUUGUACAUCAUGGCUGUGCUCCGCGUGGGAGCUGAUUGAAAACCCCGCAGGGCUUUGAACUGCUGCCAUGCUAGGGCCAGGGUGGUUGGUGCCCUUGCUGGCUGGCCUUGGGCUUGGCCGCUCGGGCGCCUGUGGCUGCGUUUAUUGGAGGCGCCGACUGCGGGGGUUUCUGUGGCCUCGUGACCGUGGACACCUGUCUCAUCCCAGGAUCAUGGCAUUAGCACCAGGGGGUGUCAAGGGCCAGGUUCAAACUCUGGCUGAUGUGGCCUCAACUUCCUAACCUGUGAGCAGGGACCUUGUGACUCAGUGGGGCCACGAGGCUCGUACAGGCUAUGUGGGGAGAUGCAGACGGAGUGGUCAGCUCAGUGGACCACAGGAGCACUCAUGAGGGACGUCUCCCCGGCCCCCCUUGGGCCCCUGAGGACCCGUGGGUGCCUGGUCUCCGGCUCUGCUAUGAGGUAGAGUCUCUCUGUGACUCCAGAUCUCGGAAGGGAGACAGCACUUCUGAACCCCUACUCCGUGCGGCCUGCUGGAUUGCACGCCAGGAGCAAGGAUGAAAAGCGAAGACAGUGGUUCCAGGGGCGCCGUCUCGGGGUGGCGGUUGGACCGUCCAAGGCUUCCUGCGGCCAUGAGAGCCCACAUGGGUGAGUGGCACCCGAGGACGGUUCGGUGCUGUGGAGACAGCGGGGACACCGCGCAGAUGCUCGCCAAAGCUGCCCGUUCGCACUGCAGCGCUGGAGGGGGCCGGGCUCUGUGAGAUGGGGAAACCGAGGCCGCAGACGCAGCGGGUAGCCUGGGCCGGGCCGGGGCCGGACACACCGCUCAGAAAGCAGUGACGACGAGGAAGACCGGGGCCUCCUGUCUCCUGCGGGUCUCCGGGCUCUCGGCGGGUGGUCUGGCCCUGUGGGGGGAUCCCACCCCUGGCCCCGCUUCCUGUCCUUCCCCUCAGCUGGGACUUUCCCCAGACACCCAGACAAACCAGCCCCCGAAAGACGCUGUGCGGGGGAGCUGCUUUCCCAUUCCGGCCUGGCUGGGAGAUAAUGUGCUAGUGGAGCGUUGGGGGCUGUCUCCCGAGGUGGGGGCCUCCCGUGUGCUCCUCCAUAACAGUAACUGGGAUUCUAGGGAGGCUUGGGAGGCAUCCGUCCCUCAUUUCCUGCCAGCCCGACCCCUGCUUGCCCCCGGCCCAGCUCCAGAGCCCCACGUGGGACCAGUGUCUCUCCACCCCCUUCACCACUGAAUUGCCUGCGGGUGGGAGCAGCGAGUGCGAGGCCGCGUGGGUCUCCCUCCCCCUCCCCCUCCCAGGGAAUCCCAAGCCUUUGGAAGGGCCCUCAGAGCAGGAGGCUGCUCACAUGGCCGUGGGGGGGGGGCAUCUGCUAGACAAAGCCCCCUUGACCACCUGUCACUGUGCUACUGUGCCCCAAAGGAAUUAGGGAGUCCCCCCAGCCCCCUUGAGCAAUGGGAGCCUCCCCCUGCCUGUUUGCUGCAGGAAGGCUCCCACUACGACAGCACACACCAGAUGAGCUCCUGCUGUGUAUGCGUUCACCGCCUAGGCCACGCGAGGGCUGAGGCCACCAGACAGACACACUCUUGGGGGGUCCGGCGGCCGCGAUAUGGAGUGAGAGCUGCUGCCUCCCAGGGUCCGUGCGCCUGGCUCCAGGGGCUUCAGGAACGUUGUCUUGUACAGAUGAGACACUGGAGGCCAGCAGGCCUGGGGCCACCUGCCUUGCUUGGGGUUGGUGGCCAUCCCUAGGGUGGCUGUGCAAGGGAGCAACCCCUCUGCCCCCCUGCCCGCCCCCCUGCCCAGACCCAAUAUGCCAGCAUCCUGGCCUGGGCUUCAGCGUGCUCCAAGUUCCUAGGGGCUAUGGUGGGGGCAGUCUGGACCCCAAACUGACUGAGAACUGAUGGUCUGAGAGGAAAACCAUGGGAAGCAGAACUUGUUCGCAUAGAAUUUCAGAAAAAAAUCAGUAGCGUGCUUUCACGGCAACAUAAGGACGCAUUAAA